rnacentral:pre_miRNA from 1 species
AAUAAGGUCACUUUUUAGUUUUUAGAUACAAUGUUUUGACUCUUUGUUUUAUUUGAAUUUUUUUACAAUUAUUGUUACUGGAUAAUAAAAUAUAAAUAGUAUUUUAUGCGUGACUAAUUUUUUUAAGUUUUUUUGCAAAUUUUUCAAAUAAGACGAAUGAUUAAAGCAUUGGACAUAAAAUC